rnacentral:rRNA from 1 species
GAUGAACGCUAGCUACAGGCUUAACACAUGCAAGUCGCGGGGCAGCAUGGGGGUUGCUUGCAAUCCCCGAUGGCGACCGGCGCACGGGUGAGUAACGCGUAUCCAACCUGCCCUUCACCACGGGAUAACCCGGCGAAAGUCGGACUAAUACCGUAUGUUGUCCAUUGACGGCAUCCGAUUUGGACGAAAGGCUUGGCGGUGAGGGAUGGGGAUGCGUCCGAUUAGCCAGACGGCGGGGUAACGGCCCACCGUGGCUACCAUCGGUAGGGGUUCUGAGAGGAAGGUCCCCCACACUGGAACUGAGACACGGUCCAGACUCCUACGGGAGGCAGCAGUGAGGAAUAUUGGUCAAUGGGCGUAAGCCUGAACCAGCCAAGUAGCGUGCAGGAUGACGGCCCUAUGGGUUGUAAACUGCUUUUAUGCGGGGAUAAAGUGGCCCACGUGUGGGCUUUUGCAGGUACCGCAUGAAUAAGGACCGGCUAAUUCUGUG